rnacentral:rRNA from 1 species
CAGUCGCCGCGGUAAUACGAAGGGGGCUAGCGUUGUUCGGAAUUACUGGGCGUAAAGCGCACGUAGGCGGAUAUUUAAGUCAGGGGUGAAAUCCCGCAGCUCAACUGCGGAACUGCCUUUGAUACUGGGUAUCUUGAGUAUGGAAGAGGUUAGUGGAAUUGCGAGUGUAGAGGUGAAAUUCGUAGAUAUUCGCAGGAACACCAGUGGCGAAGGCGGCUAACUGGUCCAUAACUGACGCUGAGGUGCGAAAGCGUGGGGAGCAAACAGGAUUAGAUACCCCAGUAGUCCCUGUCUCUUAUAC